AGCGAACGCUGGCGGCAGGCCUAACACAUGCAAGUCGAGCGCCCCGCAAGGGGGAGCGGCAGACGGGAGAGUAACACGUGGGAACGUACCCUUUGGUUCGGAACAACCCAGGGAAACUUGGGCUAAUACCGAAUAAGCCCUUACGGGGAAAGAUUUAUCGCCGAAGGAUCGGCCCGCGUCUGAUUAGCUAGUUGGUGAGGUAACGGCUCACCAAGGCGACGAUCAGUAGCUGGUCUGAGAGGAUGAUCAGCCUCACUGGGACUGAGACACGGCCCAGACUCCUACGGGAGGCAGCAGUGGGGAAUCUUGCGCAAUGGGCGAAAGCCUGACGCAGCCAUGCCGCGUGAAUGAUGAAGGUCUUAGGAUUGUAAAAUUCUUUCACCGGGACGAUAAUGACGGUACCCGGAGAAGAAGCCCCGGCUAACUUCGUGCCAGCCGCCG
rnacentral:rRNA from 1 species